rnacentral:rRNA from 1 species
GUAGGUGGCAAGCGUUGUCCGGAAUUAUUGGGCGUAAAGCGCGCGCAGGCGGUUCUUUAAGUCUGAUGUGAAAGCCCACGGCUCAACCGUGGAGGGUCAUUGGAAACUGGAGAACUUGAGUACAGAAGAGGAAAGCGGAAUUCCACGUGUAGCGGUGAAAUGCGCAGAGAUGUGGAGGAACACCAGUGGCGAAGGCGGCUUUCUGAUCUGUAACUGACGCUGAGGCGCGAAAGCGUGGGGGAGCAAACAGGAUUAGAUACCCUGGUAGUCCACGCCGUAAACGAUGAGUGCUAAGUGUUAGGGGGUUUCCGCCCCUUAGUGCUGCAGCUAACGCAUUAAGCACUCCGCCUGGGAGUACGGCCGCAAGGCUG